ACGAGUAAUAAACGCAGGUGAUCGUCGAUAUCGAGGGUUUAUACUAAACGCAGCAGAGUUAAACCUCACCUGAACAAGCAAUCACGUCGAUCGAUCGUAUAAAACCUAUUAUACCUAGCUGUGACAUGAGAACCAACAAUUAAAUCGAUGGAUUAAACAAGAUUCAUCUUCAAAUGUUUCAACGUACGGUAGUUCUAACAUCGGUUAAUUGUGCGUACGUAGAUAUACUGAGAAGUCGGCCAGGAAAAUCUCAGAACCUUGUACUGAGAAGUCGCACCCUAACCCACCUACCUAACUCCGUCUUUAUAGAUGGAGCAGUCUGGGAGAGAGAGGGAGUAGAGAAGAAGUAGGGCGAGGAGAAGAGAUCCGGCGGCGGCGCCGAAAGGAGGAGGGAGAGCCGACGGAGUAGAGGAGACGGAGGUGGAGGUGACGGAGGAAUGGGUUGAUCGUGCCCGUUCUGCUGCACGUCCGUUUCCCUCUACCGCCGCCGCGAGUUAAGCCAGUCGUCAUGUCUCUUCUACUCUCCCUCUCUCUCUCCUUUCCCCUCUCCCCCCACGCGGACAGGGAGUGGGGUACAGGGGCCGCGUGGCAGCGGGGAGGUUCGGAACCACCAGGUCCCUCCUCAUCUACCGUGGUUGAAGCUAAGGCCGGAGGCGGGACUCGAGGCGGCGGAGUGCUUGAGCUCCGCUGCCCGCGGCGGGGGUGCUCGAGUGAGGCGGAGAGCUCCUGGAGGAGAGGAAGCGCCGGGGCUCGCUACAGAACUUGAGAAGACAGGGAUGUGUACCAGUCGUAGUCGUCUCCCGGUUUGCUACGUUGACGUCCGCGUUUGUUAAAACGACCACCAGUUUCGGGAUAAGAUAACAACACUAUGACCACUCGAACGUGCCACGUCGUCGGACCUCUCCGCCGAUUGCCGCGUGGACGCUUCGUUGUUAUUUGUGCAGACUACGGUUGUACGGUUCUAUCUUUUUAACGUAGGCCGUCUGACAAAUGCUGUAACACCGUAACCUGAUACUCUUUCAAUACCAGGAAUAACUACGUUGUUGGCGACGUUCCGGUCUAUAGGUAAACCGUUCAUAAUCUCUAUACUACUGAUAACCGCACCUUUGUGGUUGGAACCUUCUCACCGCGGCAAUCCAAUCGUCCACCACAUGAAGUAAGAACCUCGACUGUAUGUACGGAUCCACGUAGUUUCAGUUGUUUGCGCGACGAUGGAGAACGACUGAGAGGUAAGCCGGGGCUGUUCAAACAUCAUGGAAGUCGUAUCUUCGUCAUCACCAGACGAGGGGGUUUAUAGAUAUCGAGCACCUACACCGCCAUACCCCUUAUCCCUCAUCUACUAUACCCUUAUUCUCCUAGGUCCGUGCACGUGUUUAAGAACGAUGGACUGCCGAUACGACUCCUACGGAGACUGGAUAGAGUUCUUCUAAACUCGGCGUCUUACUGCACAUGUCGCGUGGUGGUCAAGGAGGCUGUUGUGUCGACGACAUGACCAUCGUCGCUGGUGUUGAAGGGUGUGUUCGCAGCGAUCGACACUGGCAGUUACAUGGACUACGGCAUAUACGGAGAGGUAGGGCAAUCAGACGAGCUAAUAAGCCAAGACGGUCGCGGUUCCAAGUUGUGUAAAAUCAAAAUACCCUACCUGUAUCCAACCUACCUCGUAGCUCCUAAAGUCCGAACCCCACCGUGUCAUCAUCCUAUCGUCCUACUCAACCUACACAAGAAGUCUCUGGUCCACUACAGCAACGGCUUUCAGACGGCAGUACCCUUUUCAGCCCUAGGGUUGUUUUCACGAAGACCUACGAUACUUCGUUGUCGAAUCGGAAGGUUCGCUUUCAUUCUGUAACAUUCGUUCAUUCUGUAAAGGGUACUGCCGUCUGACUACUGCCGUCUGUAUUUGAGGAUACUGCUGUUUGACUACUGCCGUCUGAAUUUUUACGAAGACCUACCACACGUCUCCAAAGAAUCAAGAACAUGACGUGGGGUAAGAAAAUCUUUAACUUUGAUGAGGUCGCAGGUCACAAUCGAUUCUCGAUUCUACUCAUGUUCUUAAAAGACAUCUCUAACAACGUUCCUCUGUAGAGACAGGUCACAAUCGAUUUAAAAUAACCAGAGCCGUAACCUGAUAGAUACGUAACCAGAGUGUAGAAUAAAAGCCUUGUAAACUCAUGAGAAGUUUAUACGUAUGUGACGUAUAAAAGUCACUAUCAGACUUUUAUACGUAUAUGUGACAUGUCGUCGUAUAACUUUUGUAAGUCCAAAAUCAUAUUGACUUAAAAAACAAUGUAUGUGAGACGCGAAGAAGAUAUCGACUUAAAAGACAAUGUAUGUGAGACGUGAAGACGAAAUUGACUUAAAUAAAAAGUCCAAAACAUGUAGUCGGACGACUUUUGUAAGUCAGUAACUGUUUAGUACUGUAAUGUUAGACUGUUUAGUACGUACGUUUUAGACUGGUUCACAUUUUCGAACAGUUUCGAGAGUAAGGAACAAUACAAUAUUUGACUUACGGUUCUAUCUAAAGAGUUACAUGUUUAACAAACGUGAAAGACUCGUGACUUUAGACAUAUAAAAUCUAUUUCAUCGUAAACGGUCAUCUUCAGUACCAACCUAGUUGUAUAAAAAGGUGACCUUAGGAAAAAAUUACGUUCAAAUGUCGAUGAGUCUCAAAGAUUAACCUCUGAGUUGAUAGAACUGGAUGGCUACUAGAUUAAACACCGUAAUAAUGGAAUUCUUUUAUAAACGUAAAUUAAAAGAAAUAUAUAUCCCCAUAUUCAAGAAUGGUUUACAUAAGUUUAUAUGUCAACAACUUUUUUACGUUUAUAAAAGUUGCACUUGUACUAAAAUUUGCCC
rnacentral:rRNA from 1 species